CCCAGUUCAGGGAGGUAGUGACAAUAAAUACCUUACAGAGGUCUCGUUAACCGAGAUCUCUCAAACGGAAUGAGUACAACGUGAAUCCUUUAACGAGGAUCGACUGGAGGGCAAGCCUGGUGCCAGCAGCCGCGGUAAUUCCAGCUCCAGUAGCGUAUAUUAAAGCUGUUGCGGUUAAAAAGCUCGUAGUUGGAUAUCAGUGCGUGUCCGGUCCGGUAUGCCUGGCGGUGUCGCUCGCGCGUCACUGCUGGGCUCCCAAAUAUCGGCUGGCCGCAUUCAAUCGUGCCGGAUCCGUCGGCGGGCCGUUCUUCGGAGGGGCCUGUUGGCGGUCGGCGACGUUACCUUGAACAAAUUAGAGUGCUCAAAGCAGGCUCUGUAUGCCUGUAUACAUAUUCAUGGAAUUGGAGAAUACGUCCCUGGCUCGAUUUGGUUGGUUUUGAGAGUCGAAGGGAAAUGAUUAAUAGGGACUGACGGAGGCAUUCGUAUUGCGACGCGAGGGGUGAAAUCCUGUGACCGUCGCACGACGAACUACUGCGAAAGCAUUUGCCGAGAAUGUUUUCAUUAGUCAAGAACGAAAGUUAGAGGUUCGAAGGCGAUCAGAUACCGCCCUAGUUCUAACCGUAAACGAUGUCGACCAGCAAUCCGCAACGGUCACUACACGGACUGUGCGGGCAGCUUCCCCGGGGAAACCAGAGUUUUUGGACUCCGGGGGAAGUAUGGUUGCAAAGCUGAAACUUAAAGGAAUUGACGGAAGGGCACCACCAGGAGUGGAGCUUGCGGCUUAAUUUGACUCAACACGGGACAACUCACCAGGCCCGGACACCGUAAGGAUUGACAGACUGAUAGCUCUCUCUUGAUUCAGUGGGUGGUGGUGCAUGGCCGUUCUUAGUUGGUGGAGUGAUUUGUCUGGUUUAUUCCGAUAAGAACGAGACUCUGGCCUAUUAAACUUGACACUGUCAGUCUCUUGUGACUGCGGUGCGCUUCUUAGAGGGAUCAUCGGCGUCCCAGCCGAAGGAAAGGGAGCAAUAACAGGUCUGUGAUGCCCUUAGAUGUUCUGGGCUGCACGCGUGUUACACUGAAGUGGUCAGCGCGCCGUUCAACACCCCUCUCCGUGAGGAGCUUGGGCAAACGUUUGAACCCUUUUCGUGAUGGGAAUUGGGGGUUGCAAUUG
rnacentral:rRNA from 1 species